GUGAGGAAUAUUGGUCAAUGGGCGCAAGCCUGAACCAGCCAUGCCGCGUGCAGGAAGACGGUCCUAUGGAUUGUAAACUGCUUUUAUUUGGGAAUAAACCUCCUUACGUGUAGGGAGCUGAAGGUACCAAAUGAAUAAGCACCGGCUAACUCCGUGCCAGCAGCCGCGGUAAUACGGAGGGUGCAAGCGUUAUCCGGAAUCAUUGGGUUUAAAGGGUCCGCAGGCGGUCAUAUAAGUCAGUGGUGAAAGCCUACAGCUCAACUGUAGAACUGCCAUUGAUACUGUAUGACUUGAAUUCGAUCGAAGUGGGCGGAAUGUGACAUGUAGCGGUGAAAUGCUUAGAUAUGUCACAGAACACCGAUAGCGAAGGCAGCUCACUAGGUCUGGAUUGACGCUCAGGGACGAAAGCGUGGGGAGCAAACAGGAUUAGAAACCCCUGUAGUCC
rnacentral:rRNA from 1 species